UUGGUUUGCCCUGCCUUGACACUCUUUG
rnacentral:piRNA from 1 species